rnacentral:tRNA from 1 species
GGACCAGUGGUAUAGUGGUAACACGCUGCUCUGGGUGCGAAGAGGAAUGGUUCGAUUCCCUUCUGGUUCA